AUGAAUCUCCAUGGUCAUGUGACAGACAAGUUUGGACAGAACAGGGACACUGUGUACUUCAAGGAUGGUGUUCGGCACAUCGAUUUUGUCCUGUCCUAUGUUGACGACAAGGAUGGAGACAAGAAAGCGGAGAGAAGAAGAGAGUUUGAAGCCAACCUGGAAAAGGCUGGUCUUGAGCUGGAGGCUGAAGAUAAAUCGGAGUCAGGUGACCGUAAGACGUAUUAUCUGAAGAUUCACGCUCCGUGGGAAGUGUUGGCCACCUAUGCUGAUGUGCUAAAGAUUAAAGUGCCCUUUAAAGCGAGUGAUAUUCCCAAAGCUCAAGAAGUUCAUCUGGAGUGGCUCACUCAACCUUUCCGGCUGCCAGACAACAUCAUGAUGCCAGAGCCGGACUACUUCACUGCACCUUUUGAUAAGAGCAAGGUUGACUUCUUCCUCAUUGAUGAUAAGGACACAUUUUUUCCUCCCUCCACUCGCAACAGGAUCGUGUACUACAUCCUGACCCGCUGCCCUUACUACAAGGAAGACUGUAAAGAGGAAGAUAAGACGGGAAUUAAACGUCUGCUGAACAACGGCACCUACACUUCAGCUUAUCCCCUUCAUGAUUGUAAGUACUGGAAGAAAGCAGAAGACAUGCAGUGUGACAGUGAGAGGUAUCAUCUGUAUAGAUACUGGGCUCGAUUCCUCUGCUUCUACAAGAAGCAACCACUCAAUCUGAUCAAGAAGUACUAUGGUGAGAAGAUUGGUAUCUACUUUGCCUGGCUGGGCUUUUACACAGAAAUGCUGUUUUUUGCUGCAGUCAUGGGUGUGAUUUGUUUUGUUUAUGGUGUGCUUAGUUACGAAGACAACAUCACAAGCAAGGAGAUCUGUGACCCAGAAAUCGGUGGGAUGAUUGUCAUGUGUCCACUCUGUGAUAAAAAGUGCAGCUACUGGAAACUCAACUCAACGUGUCUGUCCUCCUGGCAAUCCCAUCUAUUUGAUAAUGAGGGGACUGUCUUCUUUGCCAUGUUCAUGGGUAUUUGGGUGACUCUGUUCCUGGAGUUCUGGAAGCGGCGGCAGGCCCGUCUGGAGUAUGAGUGGGACCUUGUGGACUUUGAGGAGGAACAGCAGCAGCUACAGAUCAGACCAGAGUAUGAGUUGAAAUGCACAGGCCGUAGAUUCAACCGCAUCACGCAGUCCUUCCCUCUCUUUGUGUUUUGUCAGACGUGUCUGAUAGUGGCCUGUAUAAUAGGAGUGAUCGCUUACAGAUUGGCAGUUUAUGCAGCGUUUGCCAGUGUCAUGAAGGACAGCCCCACCAGUAAGAUCCAGCUGGUGGGAUCUCUCAUCACCCCUCAACUUGCCACCUCUGUCACUGCUUCCUGCAUUAACUUUGUCAUUAUCCUCAUCCUCAACUUCCUCUAUGAGCAUGUGGCCAUUUGGAUCACUGAUAUGGAGAUCCCCAAGACCCAUCUGGAGUAUGAGAAUAAGCUGACCAUGAAGAUGUUUAUGUUCCAGUUUGUGAACUACUACUCUUCCUGUUUCUAUGUGGCCUUCUUUAAAGGGAAGUUUGUGGGUUAUCCGGGAAACUACAGUUAUAUGUUUGGAAAGUGGAGCAUGCUGAGAAAUGAAGAGUGUGCCCCGGGGGGCUGUCUGAUUGAGCUGACCACACAGCUGCUUAUCGUCAUGGCUGGAAAACAAAUGGUUGGGAACGCUCAAGAGAAUGUUUGUUUUUUACUUGUAAUUUUAUUUCAAAUAUGUUUUUUAGAAAGGCGAAGUCAUCCAAAGAGUACAUACAGUAGAUGGGAGCAGGACCACGAUCUGCAGAACUUCAGCCAGUAUGGCCUCUUCUAUGAGUAUCUGGAAAUGGUGAUCCAGUUUGGCUUCAUAACACUUUUCGUGGCCUCUUUUCCACUGGCCCCUCUUCUUGCCCUCUUCAACAACAUCCUGGAGGUGCGAGUCGAUGCUUGGAAGUUGACUACACAGUUCAGAAGGCCAGUGGCAGCGAAGGCGCGCAACAUUGGAGCAUGGAAAGAGAUCCUUAAUGUGGUGGCCAUCUUGUCCGUGGUCACAAAUGCUUUCAUCGUGGCAUUUACCUCAGAUAUGAUUCCUCGCCUGGUCUAUCUGUACGCCUACCACCCAGGCAACAAGGCCACUAUGAGAGGUUACAUCACCAACAGCCUCUCCUUUUACAACAUCUCUCAGAUCCCUGAAGAUAACCUACCUGAACAUGGAGAAAACCCAUCCUGGUAUCGGGACUACAGAUACCCACCUGGGCAUGAAAAGCAAUACACACACACAAUGCAGUUCUGGCAUAUCUUGGCUGCUAAGCUAGCCUUCAUCGUCAUUAUGGAACAUGUUGUAUUUGUGGUGAAAUUCUUUGUGGCGUGGCUGAUUCCAGAUGUGCCGGUAGGGAUAAAGUCACAUAUAAAGCGUGAACGCUUUCUGGUUCAGGAAUACCUGCACAACUACGAAGUGGAGAAACUCAAGCUGCAGCUGAGCCAGAGUUGCAGCCUGGCCACAGAAACGGCCCCACUGCUGCCCUCUAGUCCGAGUAAACACCGGGUGCUUUCUGAAUGUAUUUGAAUAUCCCUGAAUCCUCAGGACUACUCUAAUAUACUAUACACCACAAAGCAUGGAGGAAUCUUCGGGACCCCUUCAUACAUUUACUGCAAAAAACUGUCUGCCCUCAUCCAAACAACUGCCAGAACUUUUAUAAAAAACUACACGCCUAACAGUCUUUUUUCCUGCUUGAGUUUUAUGGGAAAACAUUACCGCUUUUCUCUGUGUUUUUUCUCAAAUGUCUGGAGUGCACUUGCAGAACUGUACUUCUACAGUGGCGAAAGGCUUGGAGACCGAUCACAAAACAUUUCUGCAGCAAACCCUCUUGAAUGCGGCCUGCUGCUCCUUGAGUAUGCUGCUGGGAAUUCAACUUAUGAAUAAUCAUUUAUGACCAAUUAAAAGACUGAAAAUGUUUUACAAGGCAGUAAGCUUUUAUAUCCGUCCAGCUUGUUGCCAUUAUAUAUAUAUAUAUAUAUAAUUUCUUUUUUUCUUUUUUUUUCUUUUUUUUGAAGUAAUCUGCAUGUUUUACUUUGUCUGACUGUGAAAGAGGUACAUGUAGACAGUGAAUUGUCUUUUUUGUCUAUUUUUUGUUUUUCUUUUCUUUAGAUAUGUAAGAUUUCCUUUAGGCGUGUGAGGUUUAACAGUUAAUAUAUGUUGUUGUCCAGUGGAUUUUACCACUGUGGAUAUUUUCUUUAUGAAACACACUAAUAGCUGAAUAACUAUCAAAGAAUAUCAUAAUUUCUGUAGUGCUUGCAUUAUCUUGUUUCACAUAAUAUUUAUAUUUUAUUAUUGUUAUUUUUGAUUAAUGCUGCAUCUUGCCACACACACAUUUUGGUCUGUGUAAUAUUAAAUGUAAGGGUUUUUUUGUUUGUUUGUUUUUUUUUUUUUAAUUAUUAUGACUGUUGUUAAUUUUCUUCAAGGGUGUAUUUGUUUCACUACAAUCAUAACCAAUUGAUUGUCUGGUUGGAAGGUUUUUUUUUUUUUUUUUUAAAUCAGAUUAAGCUCUAUACUGACUUGCUGUGUUUUCUGAUACUUCAAAAAUCAGAAACUUAAGCCAUUAUUCAUCACCUCAUUCUGUAAGAGUCUGUCAAAGUUUGCACAUAUCGCAUAUCUCUCAUCUGUAACUGUGACUAGGAGAACACUAGUCUUGUACUGUUUCUCUGUAACUAAUUUCGGCAAAUAUGCUCUGAACAGGAUUAGUUUGCAUUUUUGUGAUCAGUUCUCCAUGCAUCUGAGACUUUGAUCUACACCCUGAUAACUUAAUUGUAUAUUACAGUAGUUCUGGGACAAAUUAAUUGAGUGAAGCAGGCUUUCAGAGAUUCCCAUACAUGUCAAGACAAGAAAUUGCCUCUAAUAGUGUAUACAUGAAAAAGGACAAAAAAUAACGUCACAGUUUUGAAACAAGUGAAUAGAAGGAAUCCAGUAUCCUCUGCCCUAUUACUAAUCAGGUGCAAAGAGAUUUGUUUCUAAACUUUGAAGUGUGUCACAUCAGUAUUUCAGAUGUUUGAUUCAAACAUUGUGUAGCACUGUUGAUGAACACUGUUCACUCAGCGCCAACCAUCCCAUAGGGACAUCACUUGUUUGAGAGCAAACAAAUGUGUUAAAAUUAUGUCCCAAGGGUUUGUCUGUUUUUAAGGUGUCUUACAAUUUAACUACACAUUUUGUGAGCCAUACCUGUUCAUUAAAACUUCUUUUUUUAUAUCUGUUUAUUUCAUUUCACAAAUGUUAUAAAUCCUCUAUAUUUAUUUUUAGCCUGUUGAGUUAUUUUUGCAGUAAUUAAUCGAUAUUUUAUGGAUAAUACAUAUACAGUUUACAGAAAUGUUCUGAAUAUUGUUACUAUACUUGUAAACAAAGUUUUAUCCUAAACAAAAUGCAUAAUAUAUAUGUACCCGAAGUUAAACGUGACAAUCGUAUCAUUAUAAAAAAUAUAUAUAUAUAUAUAUAUAUUUUAAAAAGUUAUUCACUUAGUUAAGGAUAUAUUUGUGUUCAGAUGAGAGCAUGCCACACAUGCAUUUGCCUUAAUAAAAUUUGUCAUGAU
ensembl:lncRNA